GGGGAAUUUUGGACAAUGGGGGAAACCCUGAUCCAGCCAUCCCGCGUGUGCGAUGAAGGCCUUCGGGUUGUAAAGCACUUUUGGCAGGAAAGAAACGUCAUGGGUUAAUACCCCGUGAAACUGACGGUACCUGCAGAAUAAGCACCGGCUAACUACGUGCCAGCAGCCGCGGUAAUACGUAGGGUGCAAGCGUUAAUCGGAAUUACUGGGCGUAAAGCGUGCGCAGGCGGUUCGGAAAGAAAGAUGUGAAAUCCCAGAGCUUAACUUUGGAACUGCAUUUUUAACUACCGGGCUAGAGUGUGUCAGAGGGAGGUGGAAUUCCGCGUGUAGCAGUGAAAUGCGUAGAUAUGCGGAGGAACACCGAUGGCGAAGGCAGCCUCCUGGGAUAACACUGACGCUCAUGCACGAAAGCGUGGGGAGCAAAC
rnacentral:rRNA from 1 species